AUGAAGCUGGAAUUGCUGUAAUCGCGAAUCAGCAUGUCGCGGUGAAUACGUUCCCGGGCCUUGUACACACCGCCCGUCACACCAUGAGAGUUGGCAAUACCCAACGUACGUGAUCUAACCCGCAAGGGAGGAAGCGUCCUAAGGUAGGGUCAGCGAUUGGGGUGAAGUCGUAACAAGGUAAC
rnacentral:rRNA from 1 species